GAUGAACGCUGGCGGUGUGCCUAAUACAUGCAAGUCGAGCGAACAGACGAGGAGCUUACUCCUCUGACGUUAGCGGCGGACGGGUGAGUAACACGUGCAUCACCUACCUAUAAGACUGGGAUAACUUCGUGAAACCGGUGCUAAUACCGGAUCACAUGUUCAACCGCAUGGUUCGACAGUUAAAGCCGGUCUUGCUGUCACUUAUAGAUGGAUCCGCGUUGCAUUAGCUAGUUGGUAAGGUAACGGCUUACCAAGGCAACGAUGCGUAGCCGACCUGAGAGGGUGAUCGGCCACACUGGAACUGAGACACGGUCCAGACUCCUACGGGAGGCAGCAGUAGGGAAUAUAGGGAAAUGGGCGAAAGCCUGAAGGAGCAACGCCGCGUGGGUGAAGAAGGUCUGCGGGUCGUAAAACUCUGUUAUUAGGGAAGAACAAAUGUGGAAGGAACGAUGCACGUGGUGACGGUACCUAAACAGAAAGCAACGGCUAACUACGUG
rnacentral:rRNA from 1 species